rnacentral:lncRNA from 1 species
CAACUGGUGAAGUGUGCUGUCAUUGGUCCCCGGGAUCUGGGCGGAUCCUUCCGUUAGGGACCUUCUCGCUGGCGGGAGGGAGAGGAGGGGAGGCCCAUCAUGGCCCCCCAGGUCCGACCUUACAGACCUUUCUCAAUCUACAGCCAAAUACAAACAGCUUCUCCACUUUAGUAAAAAGAAGAUCAAGAUUUGUCUGAUCAACACAGGAAGGCAACUUUGA